rnacentral:tRNA from 1 species
GCCAGAGUGAUGUAGUGGUUUGAGUGUUGGACUACAACUCUGAAGAUCAGGGUUUGAUUCCCAGCUCAGCCA